rnacentral:misc_RNA from 1 species
UAAAGGAUGAAUCAUCUCCUGGUCUCACUCUCGUCUCCGACUCUCCCAACGAUACGAAGUACGAACAUAACAAUGCACUUCUAAUUUUACUGCCCUCUCGAGAACUCGUCUCGUUCAACUCUUAAUUCCCCUCACACUGUUAAAACCACAUCGUUUGAGAGAAUGUUGUGUUUCUUGUCUUCAAUAUUCAUCUCUUGCCCUCCACCUGUUUGAUAAAAUGCGUUGAGAAAUGUGGCCCUUCCCUUUAUCUCGAAUUUGAUCCGUAUCAACUCUAUCACAAUACCCAAUGCGCCACUUGAUGUAUUGCUUUACUUUUUAUUAGUUAUCGUGUGGUUCACGGCUUAAAGAAACUGCAUCCUUUGCUGUUUUUGCUGUUGGUGCAAGGUAGUAUUGAGAAAAGGAAAAGGCAGUGAUGGGCAUGAAAACUUUGUUUAAAUGGUCGAAACAAAUCAAGCCUUCUCAAGUUGAGCAGCUAAUACGCGCGGAAAAGGACGUACACAAAGCUUUACUCAUAUUUGACUCUGCCACGGCUGAGUACUGUAAUGGUUUUAGGCAUGAUCAUAAAACAUUUGGCGUCAUGAUCUCUAAAUUGCUCUCUGCGAACCAGUUUAGACCAGCUGAGGAGAUGCUUAAUAGAAUGAAGGAGGAAAAAUGUAAUAUCACGGAAGAUAUAUUCCUGUCUGUUUGCAGAGCUUAUGGCAGGGUGCACAAGCCAUUAGAUGCCAUCAGGGUUUUCCGUAAGAUGAAUGAAUUUGAAUGCAAACCCACACAGAAGUCUUAUAUUACUGUGUUUGCUAUUCUUGUGGAAGAGAACCAGUUAAAGGUUGCAAUGAGGUUUUACCGUUAUAUGAGAGAAAUUGGUAUUUCACCUAGUGUUGUAUCUCUUAAUGUUCUUAUUAAAGCCCUUUGCAAGGACGGUGAAACCAUUGAUGCUGCUUUAAGGAUAUUUCGUGAGAUGCCUAAUCGUGGGUGUAAUCCUGAUUCAUAUACAUAUGGGACGUUGAUCAAUGGUUUGUGUCGACUGGGGAAGAUUUAUGAAGCAAAGGAGUUAUUUAGAGAGAUGGAAACAAAAGGUUGUUCUCCAUCUGUUGUUACAUAUACUUCUUUGAUACAUGGCUUGUCUCAGUCAACUAAUAUAGACGAAGCUGUCGGGUUGCUUGAAGAUAUGAAGGCCAAGGGCAUUGAGCCAAAUGUGUUUACUUACAGUUCUUUAAUGGAUGGUCUUUGCAAAAAUCGGCGAUCUUCACAAGCCAUGGAGCUACUGGAGAUGAUGGUUAGCAGGCGCUGUAAGCCUAAUAUGAUAACUUAUAGUACCUUAAUUGAUGGCCUCUGUAAAGAAGGGAAGCUUCUUGAAGCUGUGGAGAUGCUUGACCGGAUGAAGCUUCAGGGGAUAAACCCAGAUGCAGGGCUGUAUGGGAAGAUCAUAAAUGGGUCGUGUGAAAAUUCCAAGUUUCUGGAGGCUGCAAACUUCCUUGAAGAGAUGGUACUUGGGGGGAUCUCACCAAACAGAUUAACAUGGAGCCUUCAUGUUAGGAUUAAUAAUAUAGUAGUCCAAGGUCUCUCUACAGAUGGCCAUCAAAAUCGAGCCUUCCAAUUGUAUUUAAGCAUGCGUACAAGAGGCAUUUCAAUUGAAUAUGCGACAUUCAAUUCUCUUAUAAAAUGUUUUUGCAAUAAAAGAGACCUGCACAAUUCUGUUCGCGUUGUUGAUGAGAUGGCUCUGGAUGGAUUUGUUCCUGACUGGCCUGUAUGGGAAGAUCAUAAAUGGGUCGUGUGAAAAUUCCAAGUUUCUGGAGGCUGCAAACUUCCUUGAAGAGAUGGUACUUGGGGGGAUCUCACCAAACAGAUUAACAUGGAGCCUUCAUGUUAGGAUUAAUAAUAUAGUAGUCCAAGGUCUCUCUACAGAUGGCCAUCAAAAUCGAGCCUUCCAAUUGUAUUUAAGCAUGCGUACAAGAGGCAUUUCAAUUGAAUAUGCGACAUUCAAUUCUCUUAUAAAAUGUUUUUGCAAUAAAAGAGACCUGCACAAUUCUGUUCGCGUUGUUGAUGAGAUGGCUCUGGAUGGAUUUGUUCCUGACUGG